UACGGAGGGGGCUAGCGUUGUUCGGAAUUACUGGGCGUAAAGCGCACGUAGGCGGAUCGGAAAGUUGGGGGUGAAAUCCCGGGGCUCAACCCCGGAACUGCCUUCAAAACUACUGGUCUUGAGUUCGAGAGAGGUGAGUGGAAUUCCGAGUGUAGAGGUGAAAUUCGUAGAUAUUCGGAGGAACACCAGUGGCGAAGGCGGCUCACUGGUCCAUUACUGACGCUGAGGUGCGAAAGCGUGGGGAGCAAACAGG
rnacentral:rRNA from 1 species